CCUACGGGAGGCUGCAGUGGGGAAUAUUGGACAAUGGGGGCAACCCUGAUCCAGCCAUGCCGCGUGUGUGAAGAAGGCCCUCGGGUUGUAAAGCACUUUCAGUGAGGAAGAACGCCUGGUGGUUAAUACCCAUCAGGAAAGACAUCACUCACAGAAGAAGCACCGGCUAACUCCGUGCCAGCAGCCGCGGUAAUACGGAGGGUGCGAGCGUUAAUCGGAAUUACUGGGCGUAAAGCGCGCGUAGGUGGCUUGAUAAGCCGGUUGUGAAAGCCCCGGACUCAACCUGGGAACGGCAUCCGGAACUGUCAAGCUAGAGUGCAGGAGAGGAAGGUAGAAUUCCCGGUGUAGCGGUGAAAUGCGUAGAGAUCGGGAGGAAUACCAGUGGCGAAGGCGGCCUUCUGGACUGACACUGACACUGAGGUGCGAAAGCGUGGGUAGCAAACAGGAUUAGAUACCCUUGUAGUC
rnacentral:rRNA from 1 species